AUGCUUAUUUCAACAUCACAUCAUCAACACGUGGAUACACUUCCUACUGACAAUCUUGCAUGCAUGCAUGCAUGCAGCGUUGACCCUACUUCGACCUUGACCGUUGCCCCUCCGCUUGCCCCUCCGCAUGCAUGCAUGCAUGCAUGCAACAUACCACGUACGUACUGCAUGCACAGCGAUCUAUGUCACGGUCACGGGUGGAUGCAGCCACCGCCGCCGUGUCCGAUGCCACCGCCGAGUCCACCGGCGCCACCUCCGAGCCCUCCACCGCCGAGGCCACCAAGACCACCUCCUCCACCGCCGAGGCCACCAAGUCCGCCCGAGCCACCGCCAAGUCCACCGGAGCCGCCGCCCAGACCGCCGAGGCCACCUGCACCACCACCGCCGAGGCCACCGAGCCCGCCCGCGCCGCCAAGUCCGCCAACGCCACCGCCGGCUCCGCCGAGCCCACCGACGCCUCCCACGCCAGCGAGGCCACCAAUGCCCCCGAUCCCUCCCACGCCGCCCCCGACGCCUCCGAGGGCGCCGCCGAUGCCACCCACCGCUCCGCCCAGGCCUCCCACCCCACCGGCGCCAGCGAAGCCCCCGACUCCACCGCCGUACCCUCCGCCCAGGCCGCUGCCCAGGAAGGUUUUCUGGUCGCCGAGGCCGGCCGGUGCGGCCGCGGCCACGCCGACGUUCUUAGCACUCGUGGUCGUCGCAGUUGUCUUUGUGGUCUUGGCGGUGGCGGUGGCCGUGGCAGGCACAUCUCUCGCGUCAGCCGGUGCUAGCGGCGCCACCGCGAGGAGGAGGGCGACGAGCAAGAAACGGCACGCCAUUGCGGCAGUAACGGUGCUCCACCUCGCCAUCGAUCGAGCUAGCUAG
rnacentral:rRNA from 1 species